UACGGAGGGUGCAAGCGUUAUCCGGAUUCACUGGGUUUAAAGGGUGCGUAGGUGGGUUUGUAAGUCAGCGGUGAAAUCUUCGAGCUUAACUCGGAAACUGCCAUUGAUACUAUAGAUCUUGAAUAUUCUGGAGGUGAGCGGAAUAUGUCAUGUAGCGGUGAAAUGCUUAGAUAUGACAUAGAACACCAAUUGCGAAGGCAGCUCACUACGGAAUUAUUGACACUGAGGCACGAAAGCGUGGGGAUCAAACAGG
rnacentral:rRNA from 1 species